CGGCUUUCCUUCCUUCCUUCGUUAGACUUUUGAACCGCAAAAUAACGCCUAGAAGAAUAAGAAGCAACUGAGGACGUUGGACUGUUGUGGUAUAAGUAGAGAACGGAUAUAAACCAGCUCCUUCAACCAAAAGUCUGAAAUUUCGAAGCUAGGCUGCUCCACUCAGUUGGAAAGUCCAUCACCUGUAACAUAGGCCCCGCCCUGCAACGCGCACGUAGUGCAGAGGACGCCAAUGGUAAGAAAAUGGUUGAAUUUCACAAAGUUUCUCAUAACACACCUAUGAAAACUUAACUCAAUCCAUAAAGCUUUGAAACUGAAGAUUUUGUUGUCUUUGUGUGCACACCAACCAACCAAAACAUGAACACCUGAGCAAUCUACUGCAAUCUGAUAGAACUGCUCUGCCACAAAUUCUACUGUCAGGAAUCCUUCUCAAGCUUCAGUUUUUGUUGUUAGAUCUGUGAGCUGUGGCCUGAAAGAGCAGGACAUUGAUUUUGAUUCCCCUUUUUGGUCAAUACAGGCAGAGUAACUGAAGGAAAGUACCACAGAAACAAGUGGAGCUUCACAGGGACAACAAAACAGGUAAGAAUUAAACAUGAACAGGAAUGCUAUCCAGUACACGUGAUUAGAUUUUUCACAAUGGUCUGAUUCUUUUUUGUAACAUGAGAAGUGUGCAAGAAAAAAGUGAGCUUUCCUCUUUGCCAAAUAGGCGGCAGUGUUUCUUAUGCAAGUUGUGAUGAUGCAAAUUAUAUUGGGAAUCUAAUAAACUGAGUUGUGACAAAUCCUCCACCAACAUUCAAGAAAGCGCUUUUCGGUAUGGAAGCUAUUCUAGUGCUCAUAGAUGUUUGUGUUGGUUACAUGGACACUAAAGUGGCAGAGACUCUUGAAAGUGAGUCUGGCAGUUGAAUUCAAUGUCAAAAAAGUUGUCUGGAUUCUGGGGGCCUUUGUCAGAUGUCCCAGUGAAUGGAAAUCUUAAACUCAUGGAGCUCAUAGUCUUUGUUGUGAAAUGUGUCACCUCUUAAGACUAAAAGGCUAUCGCAGACAAAACAGAAACAAUCCAGGAGUUCUAGGUUACAUUCAACUCCUGUUUUUACUGUGUGCAUCUGUGUUAUGUGUGCUUUGUGUUGUGAGGUGAUGUGGAGAUCUCAGAGACCCUGAGAGUUUCUGGUAGGCGUUGUUGUUGGUCUUGUGGCAACAUAAAGCAGGUUCUUGUGGCCUUUGUGCUUUAAGCUACACACCAUAUUUGUCCUGAUUGCUGCUCUUUAUUGCUGUGAAUGAAAAAAAAAUUGGUAGAGAUAAUUACAACACUGAUGCCAUGUCUUCAGUGUAAACCAUUUCCUUGUUGCUUUGUAUUUCAUAGUGGAUGGAAGCAUGUGCACAUUGUUACUUGUUUAUUUACAUUUUCCACAUUACAUGGCUUGAUAAUGUAAGACAUACCCAUAUGCUGUAUAUUGUUGGAUGUAAUUUGGCUGUUGUUGAGUUAUCAGUCCUUUCAAAAUAACCUUUAUAGUUUACUAGGAACAAAAUAAUUAAUUCAGGUAAAAAUGACAAAGACAACUGUUACUGAGGUCUAAACCACUUCUUUAGCUGUAAGCUGAUCUCUGAUUGGUCUAACCAUGAAAAGGCCAGGCUGAGAAGUAUAACCUCUGACAGUAACCUUUUGGUCUUGUUAAGAAAACACAGUUUUUUAAAGUAAUUUAGAUUCCAACUAUCAAACUAGUCUACAUAUGAAAAAUAAAAAAAAUAAACCCCAUCAAAAUUAAGUACAAUUUAUUUGACAGGGUUAGGAACAGAAUCACAAUGUCUGCAGGUAAACAAUGUUGAAUUGGUUCACUGAGUGUGGCUCAUAAUAGCAGUUCUAGAGGCACCAAUUUGCAGGUAACAUCCACAUUUCUGUGCGCGUUGCAUAUUGCUCUGGUUGGGUGGUUAUAUGCAAGUUUAACUCUCAUUUUUAACAUAUUUUCUAGAUCAAAAUACUGCCAAAACGUGACAUGCUCCUGUAUGCUCUCUGCCAUCUAUGUUUGUUUUCAUUUGUGGCUGUAGGGGAGUAUGGCACAAGCCAAUAACUGGAGCUGCAGCCCCAGCUGUCACGGUUUGGGUCUACAGUGAUAAACAUGAUUAGUUUAGCUGAUUGGAGUGGUUAGGAUUUAUAAGUCAUUCAUACCUUCGUUUGGGUUAUUUUUAUGGGAUGCUGUCAACUAGCUACCUCUUGUUGACAAAAUAUAAAAACUCCUCUGGCAGUUUCCAAACAACUUCAGGCACAGUACCCCCUGGAAUGAUGGGGAAAUGAACCUGACGUGUACUGUUGCCAGUUAAAGCCCUGAGGGAUAAAGCUAGAUUUGUGAUCAGAGCAUCAAAGAAAAAAAGCUAAAAUGAGUCGCCUGAUACUCUUUGGUGGCUGUUGAUACAGCUGGGCCGUCUGCCAAAGUUAUGUCUAGUUGUGGUUUUGUCUUUAUUGACCACUCUCUCCUGUAGUUGAGGAAAGGGAAUAUCCGUGAAUAACUCUUGCUUGCUUCUGUUAUAGAAUGGAGACAUUCAUGGAUGAGAUUGCAGCAGUUAUGUUGAUGUUGAAAGCCAGUUGAUAGACAUUACCACUUUAUAAGGGGUGGGAGUCAAGUGAUUUAUGUUUGAAAAACUAAAUAACUGGCCAUACUUUGGGGUUCGGAGCUCAUGUGCAUGAAAAAUGUGAGUUCUUGGGCUGCAUUUCUGAAACUGUUUAUUUGAAAAACACAAACCUGUGCAGGAAAAGCUUUCGGUCAGAUGUGGACUUUUGCAAUUACUUCAUGUAGAAUACUGUGUGUCUGUUGAACUCAGUUAUUUCAUGCGUGCAUUUUAUGAAUCACUUUUUCUUAUUGCAUUUAAAACAGGCCAGAGCUCACAGCAAGGCUUGCUAGACAUAAAGUUAAUAGCAGUCAUGCAUAUUCUAGUGUUACUUUUCACAUAUGCAUACCCACUCAGCUGGAAACCACACAUGACCUCCAGUUGACUCCUUUAAUUAGACAGCAUGGUCGAAUCAUUCCCUGAUUUCGUGGUCAAGUAUACAAACCAGUCUCACAAUGAAAAUAAACAUUCAGAAGUCAUAGGUGUUUGGAUUGUUGUCUUGUUUAAAUCAAAAUAGUUUGGAUUAUAUUUUUGUCAACGCAUGUUCAUGUGUCAGCACAGUCACAGCUUUAAGCUGCAGUGAACCUUCCUGUUUACUUGAUGGUUUCAUGUAGACAACCUUUUGCACUCGAAAAAGCCGAAUGAUAGUUAAGUUAAUGUUGCCUUAGAGGGUUUCAUCAUAUCAUUUACAUUGCAUUCAGAUUCAGGGUGUAACACUGAACGAUAAUCAACAGAGCGGCAUAAUGUGCCAUAUUUCAGGGCCACUGAGCAGCUUGUCCAACUGACAGAGACGGAGAGAGUAAGAGACUCUUCAGAGAGAGAGAGGGAGAGAGAGAGAGUGAGAGAGGAAGAGAGAGGUGGGGAGAAAGCAGGGACUGAGAAGUGGGGAUAAAGCCCUGUUCACUGCAUGCACAUGUUGCCUGAAGAACAACAGAAAGGGCUUUGCUUUAAAUGAUUCAGAGCAAAGAUAAAAUAUUUAUUGAGGUGAAAGAUUCAUGUAUGGCACAUCUAUGAACUCAUUGCUGUAUGUCUAAAUUAGAUCAUGUUGUAGUAUUUAGCUUUGCCUACGAAAAAAGAGUUAGAUUUUCCCUAGCAAAAAAAAGCAUAUUAGUGAAGCAUUGUGAAUGCGCUAAAGAUGUCUUUUUAAAACCAACUCUUUCAUGUCUUUUAAAUGCAGUUUUUUCCAACUUUAAACAUCCACCAUGAAGAGAAAUAUCUGAAUAUUUGUUUUCCUUAAACUUGACGCUCAAGCAAAAUUGUGCAGCUUGAAUUCUCAUCUGGUAUUUUUCAGAAAGUCUUUUUUUAAAGAAAGUGGCAUAUUGCUGUUAUUCUUUUCAUUGUUAUUGAAUUGUUGACAUAAGCCUGACUACACCCUAUUGCCAUACACCGUCAGAAACGUUUGAUUAUUUGUCUCACAAAAAUUGGAGCAUAAGAAUUUUUACUGCUGUGUGGAUGUCGAAACAAACCACAGGUGACCGGAGGGGGGUUUGUCUAGGAAAUCUGUGGGGGUCCCACCGCAGUUGAUGUGAGGAAACAAAAUUAAAUCCUUAUGGCUCAGGGUCAUGGCAACAGUUCAGAUGUUUAUUGAUUAAAUGUCAGAUGCCCAGGUGAACGUGAUUCACAGCUCAGAGGAGUCUAAUUCAACAAUCCAUCACCAGUAGAGGAACAUUCAAAACAAUACAUCAUCACCACAAGUUUGGAGCUCCUGUGCAACUCAAAAAUGGCGAAAUGAUGAAACGUUGCGCUGUGAUAUUGAUAUUACUGUAUAAAGUUAAAGCAGCAAAGCUAACUUAGGCCCGGACUACAGGUAUAUAGAUAUUUAUUUAUCAGGAUAUUUUUGUACUCCCGUCUAAAUAAAUGUAUCUGUCCACACGGGUUCUCAGAAAUAUCUGCGUCCACACGUAGCCUUCAAACUCAAUCCUAUCUGGUGCUGCUUAAAAAUAAUUCAGGAACAAAGCUACCUGAUUGGCCGAUGAAUCGUAACAGCGUGAUGCGUCAUGAAUUGUUUGCAGAAGCUUCGCUAGUGCGUCGGGUCCAUGUGACGGACCAUGUGACCAAUAAAAGUAUUGGGCGCAGCAGACGCCUUUGUGAGCUGGCUGACUGGUGGAUGUAAUUGUAUAAAACAAGGUUCACUUGCAAGGCUGAAAUUAGCCCCAAAAGGGCAAAACAAACGUAAAGAAUACCCUGUGUGUCCGCCAUCGUUGUUGUUGUUUUUCUUUUUAAUUCACAUGCGCGAGCUGCGGUUUGACGUCAUCGAUCCGUAAAAGUUAAACCACACGAAUCCACUUAUGCAAAUAUUUUUUUUUAUUUCUCCACUUGUUUUUUCGGAUUCAGAUUUAUCAGAUUAAGCCAGAUCAAAAUAUCAGCUUAAAAAAACAUUUAUCAGUUGCAAUAUUGACAAGCAAUGAAAUUUUCCUCUAUUUAAUUAGUGUAUAUUUUCAAAAAACUCCACAAUAAAUGUAAUCCACAGGAAUAAGCUGACUGCUGUAUUAUAGCCUUAUUUUGUUGAUCUGCUAAAUUUGAACAUGGAGAAAAUGGAAAAAAGUUGUCCUGCUUUAAGAAAGAAAAGGAGAAAAAGACAUCAAAAUGGAUCCAGAAGCUUACAGCUAUUAUUUCCUAGCAUUUUUGGUUAGGGUGAACAAUUGAGAAAAACAUUAAAACUGAAUGGUCAUUGUAAGACGCAUUUCCAAAUAAAAUCCUCAUUAAUACCUAUUAAUCUUUGAGACUACAUUGUGUAAAACAAUUGAUGUGUUAUCAAAAGACUAUAAAAUCACUUCAAGUGUAACUGUGCUUUUGUAAAGUGAGUAUUUGAGAGCAAACAUCCCGACUCAAAAAGUAAACACCCUCAUACAUUGAAAUGGCGUGUCAGUGAUGGCGGAUCUUGUGCUGCUAUGAGUACAAUUCCAGACAGGGCAGGCCUUCAGCCAGGAGAGAGGGGGAGCGUUUUUUUGCUGAUAGGUUCGGUGCAAUUAUUGUGGGGUAUAUUAAUUUGGAAACCCUAAGGGUGACCCCUCACAUGAGACAGAGGUCUGGCAGUCUUGGUCUUCAUGCAGGCCAUGAGCGUACAGUGACACAUAACCUUGCCCUGUCACCACCCUCACCAAUGUGUCAGCUAACAUUACUGUGAUUGACGUUGAGCCAGCACUCCAGCCCUGUGAGAUCUGAGGCUCUGUAUAACCUCGCCCUGACUAUGUACCAGGGCUAGGACAUUUGGGGCAUGGUGCAGGAUCAUGAUGUUUGUAGCCUGUGCCUCUGUUAAACAAGGGCAUGAGGCUUUGUGACCUUGUUUAAAUGGGAGCUUUGUCCAUAGUGUUAUCUCAGCCAAAAUCUUAAUGUCGUUUUAAACAUCACUCUAUAAAUAAAAACUCUUGCUUUUACACAAAAGAUCCAAUGCUAAGUUGGGAAAUUUAUAUACUCUCAGAUUGACCACGGCAGGUGACAGGUAGAGAAUUAUACAAUAUAUUUCUCCUGAAGCUCUACCAUUUGCUGUAUUUUCAAUGAUGCUUGUUAGUUGACCAACCUGUGAUGUAAAAAAGAAAAGGUGAAGUUACAGUCAUCGUUUGUUGGUACUUUUUACUAAAACUAAGUCAUGAACCUCUGUCUGUAAUUCACAUUCUGCUGAACCAUACUGUUGCUUAAAGACUGCUCCCUUGUCAAAGUCAUGAGUCUCACGAAAUCCUGGCUUGGAUGGCUAGUAAGCUAGUUAAGCUUUAAAAAGCCAAUUUAAUGACCACUUAGAGCAGGGGUGGGCAAUCAUGUGCCAUGGAGGGUUGAGAGGCUGCAGGUUUUCUUUCCAACCCAAAACUCCACCAGGUGAUUUCACUGAUUACCUUACCUCCAAGCAGAGAGCAGGGACUAAUCAGUGAAAUCACCUGGUGGAGUUUUGGGUUGGAAAGAAAUCCUGCAGCCUCUCGGCCCUCCAUGGCACAUGAUGUCUGUGUCUGUCUUGCAGUUCAAAUUUGAGAUAAAAAAAUGUAAAUCUUCAUUUAAACAACAACAAAAAAAAUUCUUCCUCAGUGUUUCUGUGCUACUUAACAGUAUGUAUGACAGAUAUUUGUUACAGUUAAUAAUCACAGUGUGGAUGAAGGAUGCAAGUUCAAAAUUUUCUUGUAGAUGAACUUAUGGAAAUGUCAGUGAUCGUCGAUUCCUCAUAAAAAAGAGAUUUUUCCUGUGACAAACAGAUGUGUUUUUCCCCCCUUAAAUCAUUUAUUUUCCACAGCAUAUUGAAAAAAUGAAGCAUGCCCAUAUGGUUGGGUGUCAGUCAGGAGCAUAACUGGGUCACACCAGGAAACACCUGCUCAAAAGGCGGUGGUGUUGCUGGUAUGUACAGAUUUUGGCAUGGUGGUUUUGCCAGUCUGGGAAACCUCUCUUCAUGCCCUAUAAAAAGUUCUCAACAUAUGGGCUGAUGUCAUUAGUGGCAGCUGUCGUUUAUUGCCCUCACCCCCUAACCCCCGCUUAAAAAAGAGCUCCUAGAGACAUGGCGCAUCAUCACAUCCUCCAGGCUGAGCGCCUCCACAAGGGCUGUCAUGUUAUCCGAUUUCUACCUUGCAAGUAUUGUGGCUAUAAAAUAUAAUGAUAACAAUAUUAUCCUGAUACUUGUGGAAAUCUUGAAAAUUAAACAACGAAAAUCAGUCAAAUUGAGGAAAAGCAAGAUGAGUGGAACAACACAUUUCUUAAUAAACUAACAUAAUAAAAGCAGUCACCUUACAUUUUAUAAUCUAUUCCUAAUAAUAUUCAAAUUUAUGAUUUAUCUGCAUCACUAGCCCUGCGAAGAAAACUUCUUUGCAGAGACGUUGCCUCAUUUAAUGAUUGUUCAUCAUACUUUUAUUUUGGUAUUUUUUUCCUGUCUUGCUUUAAAGUUGCUGUAUUCCUGUAUUGUCAAACUAUGCUUUUAUUUUGUAGUAGAACUUUCGGUAGACCGUAAGUUUCACAACAGAAUAAAGCAGUUAGAAGAACGGUUAUAAAGUGUACAUGUUCAGUUCAUUAGUAACCCAAAGAGCCUCAAUCUUAGGAUUCAUAAUAAAUCUUAAACAUCAGUUUUUAGUAAACAAUCAUGUCUUGGAGGGCGGCUUCAGCUCACUUGCUAGCCGUCUGUUAUGCUUCCAAAGUUUCUCCUUCAUUUUAUUAUGUGUUGCAACCAGCCUAAAGGACAACUAUGAACUUACAAACUAACUGUUUGUUUAUUUUUAGCACAAUAUCAAUAUGUUAUUUUCUUAUGCAGUCAAUGUCAGUAUAGUACACUGCGACAGCUCUAGUGUCUACUGUGCACAACCUGUUGGUCUAGCUGGGUCUAGUCUGAGGCCACUAGUUGUUUAUCUAAACCUGGUAGAAAAUAGGAAAAAAAAUAAAAACCUGCGUUUCAAUAUGUUCUUAGCAAUCGGUGCAUUGAAACUCUAUUAAAUUGUCACAGUGUUGCUACAGUGUGCAUCAUGAUUAACUCAGUUUUUUAACCUUUCUUAUUAGUUCCCAAAAUUGAACCUGUAAUUUCAGUCUGGUUGUGCAAAACUACAUAUUAACCAAACAUAGGCUACUUGUAUUUUGCUAAUGUAAAUAAAGUAAUACUGAAAUGUUUCUGACACAGAGGUUUUUAAUUUAUUAAAAUGAUGCCAUAUGCAACAUUAAUAAUAGUUUAAAAAAGAUGCCAAUCAUAUAUCUCUCUCUCAAACCGACACAAUUUCUGUUGCUCUGUUCUAAGAGCGGUAUGCCCCCUUAUGAUUGGAUAUAAUGCUAAUUAUAUAAUACUUAACUUCCAGUCGAUGUCCCUUUCUACCACAGUGGCAUGCAAAUACCCUUAAGGAAACACUGAGUUGAAAGGCUUCAUGUAAUGGACUAUGUUGGAAAAACACUCUUACCUCUAAGAGGGGAGUGCCUUGUAAUGCUCGGUAUCCACAGUGCGAGUUCAAACUGCAGUCACAGGCUCCACUACCUUUGCUUGUUUGAUAGAAUGUCAGUUUCUCUGUGACCAUGGGAUUUCAAUAAUGUAUGCCAGUUAUGUUCAGGCACUGCACUGUGGUUUUAUGCUUUAGUAGAACCACUACAUGACCUCAGCGUUCCUGCCAUUAAGUCAUCACUGUCAAUAGAGGGAAUGAGGUGCAGUGAAAUAUUAAUUAUUGUAUGGGCUUUGCUCUUUAUGCAGGAGUAGUAAAACUGUAUAGAAAAGAAUGGAGGAAAGAAGCUGCUUGGAUCCAUCCUCACAACCAAGUCUGGAGAAUUUGACCAAAUUGAAAUAAACAGGGUUUUUAUUAUUGUUAUUAGAAGUAUUUUAGAAAUAUCCCAUUAAUGUCCAUAUCAAACUCAUGCGAUUUACAGCACAUAUGUGAUAUUCGUUUUUAUCAAGUAAGACACACACAGGAUAAUGUAUGCAUGAUAACAAACAUUUCUCUAUUACCACAAAGGAGGGAUCCAGUUUGGCAAGAAAUUUCUGACUGUGCUGCGUCUGUUGCUGCUUGAAAUCCUUACUGCUUGUUUGAGAUCUACACUACCUACAGUUGAACCUCUAUGAUUUGAUGAGGUGAUGCACUGUAUGCUCUCAUAGAUACUGACACAAGAAGUCAGUGGAAUGAAAGGGACACUCAUGUUUAAGCCACCGCUACUAAAGCCGAUUUCUCACAUAUACUGCAGUCCUGAAUACAUCUGAACUUUAUCAAUUUGUCCCUGCUAGCCCCCUUGUUUGAAAGGACUCCUGGCAUUAGAUUCUUAAAGGUUCAUGGAGUUGUGCUUUGGUGUCCUCUCUGAUUACUUACACUGAUUUACACGUUUAUUGGUAUUUUGAUGUCACUAUACAUGUUGCAGCGACAACCCUAAAACAAACAUGACAACAUGUGAAACCAGUUGUAAGUUUUUAAUAGGGUAAAAAACAGCGGUCUGUCCUUCUGUCGGUGCAAGGGAAUGGAUGAACAGUAAACUGAGGCUUAGUGAAAAAUGCACUAAUGAAGAGUUUGAGGGGCCAGAAAUAAGAAGAGUUAGAAAAUAGCAUUUUUUUUAUUUUGUAGUGCACUUUAAGAAAGUUAGACGGUUGAGAAUAAAGUCAACAUUUCAAGUAAAAUGCUGAGAUUUAAAUUCAAGAAAAAAGGUCAAAUGUUAUAUCAAAAUUUCAAGAAUAAAUCCAAAAUUCAGAUAUGAGAGAAAAAGAAUAAUUUCUGAAAAAAAAAAAAAAAAAAGUCAAAUUCAGUUUCGGGGAUAAAAGGUUGAUAAUUGCUAGAUGAUGUUGCCCACUUCUGUGUAAAAUCAAUUAUGGGCCAUAGCUUCUAUACUGUGUUGUAUUCCAAACAUGCCAUAGUAAUGUUUUAUUGUUGUUUUUAACGUACAAGAUUCUCAAAAGACAUAAUUUUUUAUAUCCAUGUGAAAGAAAAAGAGGAGAUGGAUGAAGUUGAUCAUUUCAGUUAAAUUCUAUAGUUUUUGUUAAGGUCUCUGAUGUUCGCAUAAAGCUUUGGAUUAAUUUGUAAACACAUGCUGUUUUUUCAGUGUUAUAUUUGAAUGUUUUUACCUGUUAUUGAUAGGACAGAUGUAGAAAGACAGGAGACAUGCUGAGACAACGGGGGAAGAGUAAAGGGUGGUGGCCUGGUAUGGCAAGAGCUGUCACUGUGAUAAGGGCUGUAUCCUCGGUGGAUGGGACAUGCUGAAAUCACUGGGCCAAACAGUGUCCUACUCAUUGAUGAAUCUGAUAUGAGAAAUGUUUGAGGUUGUAAAUGAUAACAAUAACAAACAUUAAAACAUGACGUUUUAAAUAUCCACAGUUAGAUACACAUUUGAGAAGCUCAUAUUUUGAAUGAUGGUAGAUCAGAUCGUGUUCCCCUCCUUUUUCUGACGUGAUUCGCUCCAUGCAAGUACGGUUAUCAAAUACUGAAUAAAGGUAAAUUUUGUUUAAUGCAGCUGUGAAUGAUUCAACUGAAUGUCCAAAGCUAGUGAUAUCAAGCGUCAGUCCAUACAUUUUUAAACUGCGGUAUAAGAGGAUUCAUAUUUAACAUGAGACAAUCAGUGCAUUAACAGCAGGAGGGAUUUACAGAAGCACCUCUCCAUCACUCUGAUAUUCUUUGUUAGGAGUUGCAGGUUAUCAGAUCUGUGAGUGAUGAGAUUUUCUAAAUCUGUGGUUUUCAAACUUUUCCUGCAGGUCCCCCUUAAGGUAGAUGAAAACAUCUUCAAGCCCCUGCUUCUUUUCAUCAUAUUCAUUAAGACGUAAGUGAUUACAUAUGUUAAAAACCUCCUGGGACUGCUCAGUUUGGGAAUAAUUUGUCUAAGUCAUUAUUUGCAGAUUGGUACAGUAGAAAUGCGCAUGCAAAUGCAAGAAAAAUAUACUCAGACAGCCUGUCCAUGUAUGGUCUGUGUGUGGGAAACACUGCACCGUCUGUCCUUAUUUGAAUAUAAUUUUUCUAACUAUAGACUCUAGGCACUUGAGUUGUGAAGUAUCCUGAUCUAAUCUUAAAUCAGCAUGAUUAAAAAAACCACAGAGAAUUUAACUGUUUCAGAGUGUUUCCUGCCCAUUGUAUCAUUAACAAGAUAGUGGCACUCUAUAUUUUACCAUUCAGUAAAGUGCAGUGCUAUAUUAACCUUCUGUAGAGAAUGCCACGGCCUCUCAAUGAAGUACAUCUACUCUUCAUUUGGUGGUCACCCACAGGGAGAGAGAACAAUUAGGCCAAAAAAAAACAGGGAUAUGGUCAACAUCAGGAAACAAUGCUUCUGUUUCCAACUGCGCUGCCCCUUUGCCACUGUUCCAAGAAGACAAUAAAAGAAGACAGGCAAAACUGAGAGUCAAAUCGAAGGUUAAUUGGAGCCAGAAAAAUGUCAACCAAUUUUACCGAUCAGCCACAAGGGAUAUGCAGCCCUUGGUGAAAAAGAUGCUGGUAUAUCUACAGAGUACAUUAGCUUCCUUUCUGUAACGUCCUCCUGAAGAGAGUGAUGAUGACAUCUUUUCAGCACUCUGUUUGCCCUCAAAGCAUUUGCGUCUGCACAAAAGACAAAAGUGUGUGUGUAUGUGUGUGUGUUACAGUGUGUGCACGUCCCUGGAUGUGUUAUAUGCUGCAUGCCAAAAUCAACAUUGCUAUCGGAGAUACUAGCUCUUUGGGAGACGACAGGUGUUGGCAACAGAUCUCUGACACCUCUGUGGUCAUGGCAUAUCCAUCCCCUCUGGUUAGUCUUACCGCAACAAAAGGUGCUUUGACAACAACAACCUCUUUGCAGAAGAAUAUAAACAGCAUUUGGGGCUUGUUAUGCCAUGAAUUAUAAAUAUGACAAAUAUGAAAAUAAAAAUAAAGUGCACUUCAUUGUGCUUCUAAAGGCUUUCGAGCUGCUUUGCAAAGCUUUCAUUACUGCAGCUUUUGAAAAGUCCUUGGUUUGAAUUUAGCUGCUUGUGCCAGGGUUUGUGAAUGAUUAUUACUGCACCCUUCGCUGAAAUUGAAUUCUUCAAAGGAAAGAUUGAUAAGGAACUUUAAAGCUAUAAAGGAAAGGAAAUAAAGAAUGCACUUUUUUAAGGCUAACCUGAGUGAAAAUGUCAUAUUGGCAGUUUACGGAGGAAAUUGGCCAGUCCUUCAGUCAAAAAAUAAAAAUCGUUGCCACAAAGGUUUUUCUCGAGGUUUUUCCUGACAACACACACACACGCACACACAUGCUCACACAGACCUUGGGGUCCAUAUUUUUUGGGACCUGAACCAAUAUUGGGUUCAGAGUAAUCUAGAAAUUAAGUCCCCCUCAAGAUUGACACUCAUAAUUUGAAAUUCCUCUUUGGAAAUAUCACAGUUUUUAUAACAUCCGAUUAUUAGGUCAGUUAGAGAAAGGACAUGAAGAAGUAACAACCCACUACAGUAAUAUUUACAUGUGAUUUUGACCAUCACGGCAGUGUUGUUGAUAAUUACACUGAGUAGCUCAUGUAUCUGCAUGUGUAUUUCCACCUUAUUGAGCUGUGCUUUCCAGUGCUUGGGGUGACCCAUGCAUCACUAGCAUUAAAUCAUGCUGUCACAUCCUAUAGUCUUUUUUUGUGCCUUUGACAAAGGGCAACUUAGCCUUGAUCUUCCUCACAGGACUACAGAGACUAAUGAUAAUAAAAAGGAUUACUCUUGGUAUAAGAAAAGGUGCUGUAGUCCACUCUUAAUUGGUGAGCUCCCUUGCUAAGUUGAUCUAGUCUUGAGGCUGCCAGUUAGUGAACUGGUCAAUUAAUCUUCUCUCUCUCUCAUAAUGAGGUGGGGGAUUUCAUAUGGCUGGUCCUUCUCACAAAGACAGACAAUGUGCCCAAAGGAUCCUCUGUCCCUGCACCAAGUGACCUGACAAUUAAAAAAUGUACCUCCCUUCUUCCCCUUCCUCACCAGGUGGCAAAUUGGUCUGACCCAGCCUCAUAUCAAAAGGACUAACCAUGACUUCAAACCGACUUCACAGGAACAAAAAGAGGGGAAAGGGCAGUAUCCUCCGUGAAAUAAGAUUGUUGUAUUAAGACUUUUGGC